rnacentral:rRNA from 1 species
UACAGAGGGUGCAAGCGUUGUUCGGAAUUAUUGGGCGUAAAGAGCGUGUAGGCGGCCAGGUAGGUCAGCUGUGAAAACUCGAGGCUCAACCUCGAGACGUCGGUUGAAACCACCUGGCUAGAGUCCGGAAGAGGAGAGUGGAAUUCCUGGUGUAGCGGUGAAAUGCGCAGAUAUCAGGAAGAACACCCGUGGCGAAGGCGGCUCUCUGGGACGGUACUGACGCUGAGACGCGAAAGCGUGGGGAGCAAACAGG